rnacentral:rRNA from 1 species
AGAGUUUGAUCAUGGCUCAGAUUGAACGCUGGCGGCAGGCUUAACACAUGCAAGUCGAGCGGAUGAAAGUAGCUUGCUACUGGAUUCAGCGGCGGACGGGUGAGUAAUGCUUAGGAAUCUGCCUAUUAGUGGGGGACAACAUCUCGAAAGGGAUGCUAAUACCGCAUACGUCCUACGGGAGAAAGCAGGGGAUCUUCGGACCUUGCGCUAAUAGAUGAGCCUAAGUCGGAUUAGCUAGUUGGUGGGGUAAAGGCCUACC